GAUGUCAAAGUACUAUGCUGACAUUCAGAGAGAUGGCAGAGCCCUAGAUUUGAAAAAAGAUGCUUCUGUGGUUCCAGGCAAGAUGGCUGACUAGGAACAGCUCCGGUCUGCAGCUCCCAGCGAGACCAACACAGAAGGCCGUCAUCCUUAAGCCAUAAAAUGCCCUGUAGAGGUGGAACAGGUCAGAAGACUGAAUGCUCAAGCUGCAUGUGGAGUUAACAUGGCAAUAACACAGAAUGUGAUGACAGCAGACUCUAGAAUCUCAUGACAUCAGUUUAUAUUAGAACUGUUCUGUAGCUCACCUUUCUCCGAAGUUGGAAUUCACAUGGCUGUGGAAUGUGUUUCUACCUUCACUGUUGGAGGAGUCAUCCAACAAAUCCAGGGGUGGGAAAACAGCUGGAUAAGGACAAUAACAUAUAUGACAGCUGUACAAUCCUUUACCUUGGAC
rnacentral:lncRNA from 10 species